ACAGAAAUCUCCAUCUAUGAAAACGGGUAUGCUAGGAUAUUCAACCUCUAAUUGAGUUAGUUGAUCAAAUGCAUGAAUAGUUCUGAAAAUGUGGCUUGCCAAAGUCACCUUUCAAUGCAAAGACUAUGCAGGUACUGACAACAUAUCUGAAUGCUCCAUGCCCAAUAAGUUUAUUUAAUAUUUAGAUAAUUCUGUUCAGAAUAUUGAGUACCAUCAGAAAAAAAAAUAUUGAGUCAUUUGCACUUGAGUGUUGCUAUCAAAUUUUCUUUCUUUUCUUCUGAUAGGGAUUAUCAAAUUUUAUUUCUGUGACGCGAUUUGGAAAUGAACAUCGAUAACCAAACAUUUUUUAAACUUUUGUAAACUUGUUUUUAGCUGACAUAUCUUCCCAAUUAUAUUAUCCCCUCUCUUCAUUCAAAGUUUCCUGCAAUUUUCCUCUGUGUGAAUUCAUAAAACUGAAAUGAAGAAAUAUUCUAUCGAACACUAUGAAAGCCAUAGCUAGUUUACUUUUGCUUUCUAUACAUGGAUUUCAGCUUUAUUAUGUUCGUACAAUCAUUCCACAUUGCCUCUUGUACUAAUUACAAGUACCACUAGUCUAAUUUAGUUUGUGGACAUGCAAAAUGUAAAUUCUUUGUCUCAGCUUAGUUCACAAUAUUCCAAAAAUGACAGAAUAUUCCAUAAUUAAGAUUCCAAGUCAAUAAACAUUGUGUUUAUUAUUUGGCCCUUGAUGUGACAUGUUUUGAAGAAACUAUUCUCUUCUACAUGUCAUGUUGUCUAUCAUCUUUUCAAACCAUCAUUCACUAACUCUAGUGAAAUUGUCCAUCAACUCUCCUUUGUUUUGAUAUCCGAGCUAGUAGCCAAAAUUGGAUAAGUGAAGUGCAAAUCUACAAGGUUUGAGUUUUACUUUUCUCAACCCUUUGGUUAAGAUCAAGUGUAAUAAAUCUGCAAAGGUUGGAUUUUCAGAGUUCAGCCUAGAUAUAUAAUCAAGGAUACCUAAUUGGAUUUCAUAAUUUUUUGGCAAUACCUUUUAACUUUCCCAUUUACAGAUGUUUUUUGGACUCAGAUCAAUCUUACUAAUCUAUUUUCCUGGUUACCUCUCUUUUUAUUAAUUUUUCAUUGAGCAUUAUUGCAUACAUCAAAUUUAGUGUUACUGUAUUUCUUUAUUAGGCUCGAAAAGAGCGGCUCAAGUCAUUAUCCAUGUUUGGGAUGCUGGUCUCUCCCAAGCUUCGAACUGCCCAAUCGUCAUUUGAGACAGCUCUGGAAACUCUAGUAGAAGUAGCAAAUAAACGGGCAGACCUGCUUAAUGCUUAUGAUCAGGUGCGAGAAAAGAUGGAGAGCACCACCAAAUGACCAAAGAAGCCCUGUCUGGAGACCUCGCCUCCUUCCGACCUUGCUCAGUAGCCUGCAUUCUUCGCCAGGGGGGAUUAAAUCGAAUAAAUGCAAAUAGGGUCCCACCUAAAUAGGAAAAACAAAAAGGAGAAAAAGAAAGAUGAGGAACAGACUCAAAGGUCUGGAGAUGGUGGCAUUGGUGAAACAGAGAGAUGAUGGCAUUAUCUGAACUGAUCUAUUUUUAGAACAAGUCUCUUCAUGCCUGCUGUCCUUGCCGCAAGUUUGUAUUUCUGCUUAGCUGUAAGAUUCUCUGGUGUACAGUUCUUGCACAUUUCAUAUGGCUUUUUCCACAGUGCAGGGAUUUAAUUUGUGCAAUUAACUCAAAACUUAUGAGCUAUGGUCCUUCUGGGGGGUGCAUAUUCAAUGGCUGACUAAAUGAAUCAAGUCUUAUCAUGUUAAGUAUUGAUAUCUAGAAAGAAUUUUAUUGCGAUGGAA